UACAGAGGGGGCAAGCGUUGUUCGGAAUUACUGGGCGUAAAGGGCGCGUAGGUGGCCUUCUAAGUUGAACGUGAAAUCCCUGGGCUCAACCCAGGAACUGCGUCCAAGACUGGGAGGCUUGAAUCCGGGAGAGGGAUGCGGAAUUCCAGGUGUAGCGGUGAAAUGCGUAGAUAUCUGGAGGAACACCGGUGGCGAAGGCGGCAUCCUGGACCGGUAUUGACACUGAGGCGCGAAAGCCAGGGGAGCAACAGG
rnacentral:rRNA from 1 species